rnacentral:rRNA from 1 species
CCAUGCAGUCGACGAAGUAGCAAUACUUAGUGGCAGACGGGUGAGUAACAUGUGGGUAUCUACCCUUUGGCCUGGAAUAACACGAGGAAACUUGUGCUAAUACCGGAUAAGUCUUUACGGAGAAAGCUUUAUGCACCAUUGGAUGAGCCCGCACUUGAUUAGUUUGUUGGUAGGGUAAUGGCCUACCAAGACUAUGAUCAAUAGCUGAUUUGAGAGGAUGAUCAGCCACAUUGGGACUGAGACACGGCCCAAACUCCUACGGGAGGCAGCAGUGGGGAAUCUUGCACAAUGGAGGAAACUCUGAUGCAGCGAUGCCGCGUGAGUGAAGAAGGCCUUUGGGUUGUAAAGCUCUUUCGUCGGGGAAGAAAAUGACUGUACCCGAAUAAGAAGGUCCGGCUAACUUCGUGCCAGCCGCGGGGG